AUUGAACGCUGGCGGCAGGCCUAACACAUGCAAGUCGAACGAGUGGCGGACGGGUGAGUAAUGUCUGGGAAACUGCCUGAUGGAGGGGGAUAACUACUGGAAACGGUAGCUAAUACCGCAUACCAUCGGAUGUGCCCAGAUGGGAUUAGCUAGUUGGUGGGGUAAAGGCUCACCUAGGCGACGAUCCCUAGCUGGUCUGAGAGGACGACCAGCCACACUGGUACUGAGACACGGCCCAGACUCCUACGGGAGGCAGAAGUGGGGAAUGUUGGACAAUGGGGGCAAGCCUGAGCAAGCCAUCCCGGGUGUAUGAUGAAGGCCUUCGGGUUGUAAAGUACUUUUGGCAGAGAAGCGGUAUCUGCAGAAUAAGCACCGGCUAACUACGUGCCAGCAGCCGCGGUAAUAC
rnacentral:rRNA from 1 species